rnacentral:rRNA from 1 species
UCCGUAGGUGAACCUGCGGAAGGAUCAUUACCGAGUGCGGGUCCUCGUGGCCCAACCUCCCACCCGUGACUAUUGUACCUUGUUGCUUCGGCGGGCCCGCCAGCCCUGCUGGCCGCCGGGGGGCGUCUCGCCCCCGGGCCCGUGCCCGCCGGAGACCCCAACAUGAACCCUGUUCUGAAAGCUUGCAGUCUGAGUGUGAUUCUUUGCAAUCAGUUAAAACUUUCAACAAUGGAUCUCUUGGUUCCGGCAUCGAUGAAGAACGCAGCGAAAUGCGAUAACUAAUGUGAAUUGCAGAAUUCAGUGAAUCAUCGAGUCUUUGAACGCACAUUGCGCCCCCUGGUAUUCCGGGGGGCAUGCCUGUCCGAGCGUCAUUGCUGCCCUCAAGCCCGGCUUGUGUGUUGGGUCCUCGUCCCCCGGCUCCGGGGGACGGGCCCGAAAGGCAGCGGCGGCACCGCGUCCGGUCCUCGAGCGUAUGGGGCUUUGUCUUCCGCUCUGCAGGCCCGGCCGGCGCCCGCCGGCGCAAUUUUUUGCAACCUUUUAUUUUUCCAGGUUGACCUCGGAUCAGGUAGGGAUACCCGCUGAACUUAAGCAUAUCAAUAAGCGGAGGA